rnacentral:rRNA from 1 species
CAAUAGCGUAUAUUUAAGUUGUUGCAGUUAAAAAGCUCGUAGUUGGAUUUCGGAUGGGAUUUGCCGGCCCGUCGUUACGAUGUGCACUGGCCAGUCCUAUCUUGUUGUCGGGGACUAGCUCCUUGGAUUCACUUCCUGGGACUAGGAGCUGACGAGGUUACUUUGAGUAAAUUAGAGUGUUCAAAGCAAGCCUACGCUCUGAAUACAUUAGCAUGGAAUAACACGAUAGGACUCUGGCUUAUCUUGUUGGUCUGUGAGACCAGAGUAAUGAUUAAGAGGGACAGUCGGGGACAUUCGUAUUUCAUUGUCAGAGGUGAAAUUCUUGGAUUUAUGAAAGACGAACUUCUGCGAAAGCAUUUGUCAAGGAUGUUUUCAUUA